UCCUAUGGAUGAGCAAAGAAAGCGGGUCCUUGAGAAGGAAUCCACUCCUGGUGAAGAUGCUCUGGGAA
rnacentral:pre_miRNA from 1 species